rnacentral:lncRNA from 1 species
UAUUUAUAUAUAUAAAGGGAUAUAUUUUGCUAUAUUAGAAUUUAGAGGGACUAAUAUGUUAGCCUCCCUCCCAUAACCUUUCCAUCGGAGCAGAAACAGAAGGACGAUCGGUAAGUCAAUUCAUGGAUGCUGAAAACGUAGGGGACGGCCACACCUUCUUUUACAUGCGAAAGCAAGCUAUGGUGGAUUAUGGCGGCAGCAAUCGUUGACUCUGACGUCCGUUUUGUAUGAACAUCUCACGAGUUGGUAAGUCAAUAUUGUUUCAGUCCAAUAUAUAUUUAUCUUCUUCUUCGACUCUCGCUGGCCAAAUGUGUUCCUCCCAAGAACCAAAGUCUGAGAUCGUCAAAGUAGGAAAGCAGUGGUCUUCGUCAACAACAGCUUCUUGUGAGGGGAUUUGACAACAAGGGCAAUUAACUUGCCGACCAACUGUUCGACGGUGGUUCGAGGCGAGGAAUACUUCGUCGAGUGUGUCGCAUCAGAGCAGAGCAUCGGAUGAUGGUACAAAACUAAACUCCGUUUAGAAAGAUAGUUUAGAUGGGAUCCCAUUGCUCGUUGUCCUUCGGAUCAUUGAUUCGACUCGAAUUGGAUUAAAAUAUUAUAUUAUUUUAUUUUGAGAAACUAGAAUCAAUCGUCCUGAUUUCAAACCGAUUAAAUGAUAGAAAUAAAUAAAAAUAAAUCACAUGUAGAGUUUAUGGUUGAUGCUUAAAUCUUUUAUUUUAAAAUUAAGUAACCUAGUUUCAAAUCGAUUAAAAUUGUAUAAAUUUAUAUUUUUAUGUCAUUACACUUAUUAUAAUUAUACAUCUAUUUUCAAAUUUUAGAAAUACAAUUAUGAAUUUUUAUAUAAUUUUUUAUGUCAUUACACUUGGAUGAUUCAGUUUUGAUGGACAUAUUUAUGUUCGAAUCUUAUUCAAAUUGUAUGAAGACCGAGAUCAAAUUGAUUUCUCGAUAUGGUCCCUUUCAUACUAUACUCGAUUAUCGUGAUCUAAUGACUUUCUACAAUGGGUUUAAUUGAGAAAAUAUUUUAAGGUGAGAUAUGUUUUGAAAAUUCUAUUUUGGAUUAACGUCUACAUGACCCAAUCAUUAACCUAAAUCUAAUCUUUCUAAUUGUGCUACCAUACAUGAUGAGAUGUGAUCGAGAUAAAUGUUUUUUUUAUGAAAAUAUAAAUCAAAAGAGUUUAGAUUGGAUGACAUAUUUAUGUUUGAAAUCUGGUAAAUCGUCAUCGACACAUGAGAUGGAGUGUUCAUGUCUCAUCUAGCAUGUCUCUGCUUGCUUUGUUAUGUGAAAGAAAAUACUCAUUCCUUUGUUUGAAAGCAAUCAACAAGCUCUAAAUUUUCUAAUGAGAACAUUCUUGUAUAUUAAAAUUGUAACCUGAACAACUCUUCAAUCAACAAUCUGCAUGAGUACCUAAUUUAGACUUUGAGUGUAAUUUUUCUAUGUCAAAUUUUAAUAUUAAAAAAUUAAUCAGGAGAGUUUUAGAAUAAAUAAUCAAGAGAGUUUUUUUCAUCAAAAUUUUUUAAGAAAUUUUAUUAUAUUUAAAAAAAUUAUUGAUUGAUAAUCGUUAUCAGAAUUCAAUCAUAUUUAUAAUAUAUUUUUUUAAUUAAAUAUAACUCAUAAUCUAAUUAAAUUUAAUGAGAAAAUUCUUGUAUAUUAAAAAUGUUAUCUGAACAACUCUUUUGAUCAACAACAAUCUGCAUGAGUACCUAAUUUAGACUUUGAGUGCAACUUUUUUGUGUGUGGAAAGCAACAGCUGAGCAUCCAAUCAUUCACCCACCACCAUCAAAAACUACACUUCCUAGUAAAAGUCCAACCAUCAUCCAAUUGCUCUCUUGACCCUGAACAUAAAAAUCAAUAAUAUGUUAUUAUUAUAUAAAAAAUUUUAAUAUCAAAAAAUUAACUUCCUUAUGUGGCUAAAAGGAGAUAAUAAAAUAAAUAUGUAUAAUUUUUUAAUAAUAUCAUGUAUCCAUACAUCGACAUUUAGUUUCCGUAAAAUUUUAUCUAUUUAUAAGCGAGAAUAGAAGUUUUACGGUAAAUAAUUAAGAAAUUUUCUUCCAUAAUCUAAUUAAUUUUUUUAACGAGAACAUUAUUGUAUAUUAAAAAUGUUAUCUGAACAACUCUUUCGAUCACCAACAAUGAGUAACUAAUUUAGACUUUGAGUGCAACUUUUCUCAGCGUGGAAAGGAACAGCUGAGCUUCCCAUCAUUCAUCCACCACCAUCAAACACUGCACUUACCAGCAAAAGUCCAGCCAUCAUCCAAUCGCUCUCUUGACUGACCAAGUUUAGUAGGUGAGGCAAUCUCUUCCCAUUUCUUGUGAGUGGAGGAAGAACACAUGUCGAGCCUACGACAAUUUCAC